GGAGGGGUGCUAGAGUGGUUGAAUAGGGCGGCCUGCUAAGCCGUUGCACGGGUUUUCUCGUGCCGUGGGUUCGAAUCCCACCCCCUCCG
rnacentral:tRNA from 1 species